GACGAACGCUGGCGGCGUGCUUAACACAUGCAAGUCGAACGGAAAGGCCCUGCUUUUGUGGGGUGCUCGAGUGGCGAACGGGUGAGUAACACGUGAGUAACCUGCCCUUGACUUUGGGAUAACUUCAGGAAACUGGGGCUAAUACCGGAUAGGAGCUCCUGCUACAUGGUGGGGGUUGGAAAGUUUCGGCGGUUGGGGAUGGACUCGCGGCUUAUCAGCUUGUCGGUGGGGUAGUGGCUUACCAAGGCUUUGACGGGUAGCCGGCCUGAGAGGGUGACCGGCCACAUUGGGACUGAGAUACGGCCCAGACUCCUACGGGAGGCAGCAGUGGGGAAUAUUGCACAAUGGGCGGAAGCCUGAUGCAGCAACGCCGCGUGCGGGAUGACGGCCUUCGGGUUGUAAACCGCUUUCGCCUGUGACGAAGCGUGAGUGACGGUAAUGGGUAAAGAAGCACCGGCUAACUACGUG
rnacentral:rRNA from 1 species